AUUUAUCUAAUAUAAUCAGUAUACUUGACUUCCAAUCAAAAAGUUUGCCAUGCAAGAUAAAUA
rnacentral:tRNA from 1 species